ACUUGUGAGGGCGAUCUGGCUGUGACAUCUGUCACCCCAUUGAUCGCCAGGGUUGAUUCGGCUGAUCUGGCUGGCUAGGCGGGUGUCCCCUUCCUCCCUCACCGCUGCAUGUGCGUCCCUCCCGAAGCUGCGUGCUCGGUCGAAGAGGACGACCUUCCCCACUGGAGGAGGACCAGUCUUCCGUCAAGAGUAUAUGAGUAGCUGUGCUCCCCUGCUAGAAGCUCCAAACAAGCUCUCAAAUAAAUAAAUCCUUAAAAAAUAAAGUUGAAAGAAACUUUGUAUAAUUUCAGAAAACAAUUUGGAUUCAUAAU
rnacentral:snRNA from 1 species